ACGCUCGACACCUACUGGAGGCAGCAGUGGGGAAUAUUGGGCAAUGGGCGCAAGCCUGACCCAGCAACGCCGCGUGAAGGAAGAAGGCUUUCGGGUUGUAAACUUCUUUUAUCAGGGAAGAUGAAUGAGACUGUACCUGAUGAAUAAGCCACGGCUAACUACGUGUCAGCAGCCGCGGUAAUCUGAGCGGGCUGGCAAGGC
rnacentral:rRNA from 1 species